AGUUACGGUAUACCUACGAAGAGAAAAGAAAAGUAUAAAACCCACAGAUAAGAAUAUUGUAUAAAAAAGGUCAAUUGACUAAAUCAAUGCAUCACUUGAAGCCUUAUUGUGCUAGUUAUCAUAAUGGGCUUCGUAAAAUGGUUUAAGGCCCUUGAGCUGUGGGUACAGAUACUUUUUGGUGUGCUGGUAGUAGGACUCAUCGUUACCUGCAUCACGGUGCCAAUCGUCGUGACGAAUAACAAUAAAAAUUCGGCUACAGAUGACACAACCACGACCGUCGAGUCCGUGACCGUGACAGAUUCUACUACGAACACGGGCCUCACAACAGAUCCUACAACGGAUCCUGCAACGGAUCCAGCGAAAUCAACUGAUUACACAACAAGUUUUUUGUCGACGCCGACAGAACCGACGACAGAUAUUACAAUAAUUUCUUCGACGGAAACAGCACCUACGGAAUCGGGGAGCACAACAACUGGGGACUCGGAAAUGGACAACGAAAUAUUAUGGAAAGCUCUCAAGAUUACCAAUAAAUUGAAUUUGAGACAGAGAACAUGAAAUCCUUCUUUGAUUGGUCCAAUUAAAUCCGUAAAAUAGUUUAGACAUAUUCAGUAGCGCAUUUUAAAAGUUUCAGUAAAAUGUACCACUUUAGAAAUUGAAACUUGAAUUCGAUUUAUGCCAUAUAAAAAUUUUCAAUCAUUUAACAAAUGUAUAAUUUCAAGAUGAUUUGUGUUGAAACCAUAAUUGAAAUCGGAUAAAUGAUACAUAAUAUGACUCAAAUUACAGAUUUCCAAUACAUGAAUAACUAACUUCAA